AGUCUUAAAUUUAUGGAACAAUUGGGAGAUUCGAGGAAUGGUUUUGCUUAGUCUCUUACUACAAACCAUCCUCAUCAUAUUUGGGUCUCGGCGAAAGACCACUGGCAGAAUCUGGAUCAGGAUUCUCGUUUGGUCUGCAUAUCUAUCAGCAGACAUGGUGGCAACUGUUGCGCUGGGUAAUCUAGCCAGGAGCCAAGGAGAUUCAUCAGGUGACAGUUCAGAGAAAGCAAACAAUUCCAUCCAGACAUUUUGGGCACCUUUUCUACUCCUGCACCUUGGUGGCCCAGACACAAUCACUGCAUACUCAAUUGAAGAUAACGAGUUGUGGUUAAGGCAUUUACUUGGUCUUGGAGUCCAAGUCGGAGUGGCUUUUUAUGUCUUCUCAAGGUCCUGGGGUAGCGGUAUCCUCACAUUCAUAGCAAUCCCAAUGUUCAUUGUUGGCAUUGUUAAGUACGCAGAGAGGACUUGGGUGCUCCGGUCUUCAUGCUCCAAGAGUUUGAAAAACUCUACUCUCUCAGAUUUUUGGGAUUCCUAUAGUCAUACGAGAAUAUCAGAAACUCGUCUACAAGACCUCCAGGGAAAUUAUCUUCUUCAAGCUUAUAUUUUUUCUUAUAUAUCCAAGUUUAUGAUGCAGGAUCUUGUCCCUGACAUUCUUUCACUAAUAAGAAGCCGGGGGCUGAUUUCCAAAAAUAAAGCAGACGGUGCCUUCAAGGUGGUAGAGGUUGAGCUUGGAUUGAUAUAUGAUAUGCUUUAUACUAAAGCGCCUUUGAUUUACUCCCGUUUCGGAAUCAUUCUUCGCUCUAUCAGCUUUCUGCUCUCUAUUACUGCGUUUAUUACCUUCCAAGUCAAGAUUGGCAAGGACGCCUACUCAAAGACCGACAUUGCAAUUACAUAUUUAUUGUUUGCAGCCGCUGUUUUUCUCGAGUUUUAUGCUUUUUUAUGCCUUGUUUUGUCUGACUGGACAAUGAUUUGGUUGAUUCUUAAAGGAGGGAACGCCCUGACUAGUGCAAUUUAUUCUCAGUUAAGGAAGUUAACUAGAAGCGAGAGGUGGUCGAUGACAGUUUCUUAAGCUCUUAAUUAUACAAACAAUUGUUAAAAGCAAGAAAACUAUAUUAUUUCAGAUGAGAGAUUAAGGCUUUAUAUCAGCCUUUACACAGCAGGAAUAAUGGAAAUAACGGAACCACUAAAGACGUGGUCAAGCGGUUACAAGAAAAUCGAAUUAAAAACUGAAGUCCAAAGGAUCCGGACAUUAUUAACUUAAAUAGCAGUAACGGUUAAUACUAAAUCAACACAACAAACUCUCCCUUAAACUGACUUGCAAUUUCGUCAGUUUAAAAUUGGUGUUGUGCAAACUCCAAGUAGUUCUCUCAGUCUUGUGAAUACUUCAAGCGUCAAAGGCUUAGUCAUAAUAUCUGCCAACUGAUCUUUGGAACCACAAAACUCUAACUUAACAAUUCCAUCCAUUGUUAAGUCACGAAGAAAAUGGAAUCUGACAUCAAUGUGCUUGCUUCUUCCGUGCAUAACAGGAUUUUUUGAUAAUUUGAUAGUAGAGCUGUUAUCACAGAAUAUAUCAGUGCACUUGCUUCGUUCAAAACCAAGUUCAUCAAGAAUUCUUCGCAUCCAUAUACUUUGACAUGCGCAAGCGGCAGCAGCUAUGAACUCGGCUUCAGUAGUGGAAAGAGUAACUACUGGUUGUUUCUUUGAAGACCAUGCGACAGCACCUGAACUGAGUAAGAAUGCAUAUCCUGAUGUGCUUUUCCGGUCUUCAGUAUCUCCUGCAUAGUUGCUGUCCGUAUAGGCUGCCAACUUCUCUUCUCCUCCUUUUUGAUAAGAGAUUCCCAGCUCAGUUGUUCCUUUGAUGUAACGAAGAACUCUCUUUACAGCUUGUUGAUGUAACUCAGUUGGUCGUUCCAUGAAUCUGCUGACCAAACUUACCACAAAUGCUAAGUCUGGUCUGGUGGCAGUCAAGUACAUGAGGCUACCCACCAUCUGCUUAUAUGUUGUGGCAUCAACACUUACCCCACCUUCGUCUUUUGCAAGUUUGAAACCUGGUAUAAUUGGAUUUUUGACAGGAUUGCAGUUUCUCAUGCCAAAUCUUUCAAGCACCUCAUUAGCAUAUUUCCUUUGAUUGAUGAAGAUCCCUCCUCUAUGUUGUACUACUUCCACGCCAAGAAAAUAUUUCAUUCUCCCAAGAUCAGACAUGUCAAACUCUUGUUUCAUAGAGUUCUUGAACCUUUCGAACAUUUCUACAUUAUUUCCUGUAAAAAUAAGAUCGUCAACGUAAACACUUACAAGAAGACAUUUCCCUUCCAUUUUCUUUGUAAACAAGGUAUGUUCACUCGGACAUCUUUCAAAACCUUCUUUAAUGAAAUAGGACUCCAGUUUGUUGUACCAAGCUCGAGGAGCUUGCUUGAGUCCAUAUAGAGCUUUCUUGAGUCUAUAAACCUUGUAUUCUGCUCCUUUUACUUCAUAGCCUUGUGGUUGUUCAAUAAAAACGGCUUCGUUGAGCUCUCCAUGUAAGAAAGCACUUUUCACAUCGAGCUGAUACACAUCCCAACCUCUACAAGCAGCAAGAGCUAGUAUCAUUCGAAUAGUAUCCCAUCGAGCUACCGGUGCAAAGACUUCAGUGUAGUCAAUUCCAAAUUUCUGUGAGAAACCCUUUGCGACAAGCCUUGCUUUGAAUUUAUCUACUUUCCCAUUCUCAUUGAGCUUGGUCUUGAAGACCCAUUUUACUCCAAUCCGUUUGGCUCCAUAUGGAAGUGUAGUCAGCUCCCACGUUCCAUUCUUCUCAAUAGAAUUAAUUUCCAAAUCCAUUGCUUCUCUCCACUUCGGGUGCUUGGCAGCUUCUUCAAACAAGAUGGGAUCAUUGGAGGCUGUGAGCAACAUGAAGUUACUUUCUUCAUCUGAGUCAGAUAAGCCGUCACCAGUUACAUAAUCUUGCAAGUAAGCUGGUAUCCGUCUAACUCUCCCUUGAGCUGGACUGGAAAUGUCUUCGCUGGAUGAAGAAAUAAUUCCAGGAGAAUUUGCAUCAGCAACUCCAGAACUGUCACCAGUAGUAUUGCUGUCACUCUGUGGCUCUUCUUCUGCAUUAUCAUCUCCUUCAAAUGCUGGUUGCACAUUAAGUUCAUCAUUGUUGUCAACCAACUGUUCUGCUUCUACAUUGUCAUGUUCUCGUGCUGGAUGAUCCGCAUGCUGCCAUUCUGUUUCUGCAUUGUCACCCCACGUAAGAGUUUGAUUUUCAGUUUCUACCGUACUCCAAUCCCAUUGCUUAUCUUCUUCAAACACCACAUCUCUGCUCACAAUGAUUUUUGCAGACACUGGAUCAUACAUUCUAUAAGCUUUAGAUUCCUGACUCAACCCCAAGAAGAUACACCGAAGGCUUUUAUCAUCAAGUUUUUGCCGGUGCUUAUCAUAAAUAUGAACAUGACCAAUGCAACCGAACACUUUGAAGUAUUCUACUGAUGGCUUGAACCCAGACCAAGCUUCCUCUGGUGUCAUGUCUUUAACUGCAAAUGUAGGACAACGGUUGAGCAGAUGAACUGCCCAGUUGACAGCUUCUGGCCAAAAUAUUUUUGGUACCAGCUUUUCUGCUAAUAUACAACGCACCAUAUUCAUAAUAGUUCGGUUUUUUCGCUCUGCAACCCCAUUUUGCUGAGGGGUAUAGGCUGCUGUGAGUUGUCUAACAAUACCAUUAGAGCUGCAGUAUUCAUUGAAAUCAGACGAAGUAAACUCCCCCCCCCGAUCAGUUCGAAGACAGCAUAUAACAUUUGCAGAUUCUUUUUCUACUAGACACUUGAACUUUUUGAACAUGGCAAGUGCUUCGGAUUUAAGAUUCAGAAAAUAAGUCCACAGUUUUCUGCUAUAAUCAUCUGUAAAUGUGAGUAUAUACCUCUUAUGACUGCUGGACUCGGGUGUAAUGGGACCACAGAUGUCAGCAUGAAUGAGUUGCAAUUUUUGUGUAGCUCUCCACAUACUCUUUCUGGGGAUGAAUUCUCGAUGCUGCUUCCCUGUCAUACAUACUGUGCAGACAGUAGAGGACUCAUGGAGAUGAGGCAGGCCUUUCACCAUUUGCUUACGGGACAAGAUACUCAAGCCUUUGAAAUGUAGAUGCCCAUAUCUACGGUGCCAUAGAUCAGCUGGACUUUCAGAUGUAGUCUUGAAGCAUGUAGGAAUGAGGACUUGAGUUUGCAUCUGUGUUUCUCGUUCAGCCAGAAGGAUAAACAUCCGAUUAGCAGACAUUUGAGUACUCAUAAUUAACCCUCGUUUAUGAUGAUAAAUUUUGCAUUCACCAUGUUCCAUUAGAAUAGCCAAGUUGCGUUCUUGAAGCUGACCAAUACUAAGAAGAUUAUUUCUUAGCUCAGGUAAGUAAAAUACAUCACCAAUCAGCUGACUUGUGCCAUUAAUCCGAAGCUUGAUGUUUCCUUUCCCCAUCACAGCCAUUUUGGUGUCAUUGCCAAGCUUCACAAAUUGCCGAAAGGUUUCAUCCAGAUGACUGAACCACUUCUUAUCUCCUGUCAUAUGAUUGCUGCAGCCCGAAUCAAGAAACCACAUUGUUUCUUUUGAGUUGGUAGGCGCUGUUUGACACCAGGUGCUGUUUGAGCUAUCAUGUGCUGUGUAAGCCAUCAGCAACAUUUCUUCUUCAUUUAUUUCAGCAUAAUGAGCGCCCUUUUCCCAGCUAGGACAUUCAUAUUGAAAGUGUCCUAGCUUGUGACACUUGUAGCACUCCACAAGUGCUUUGUUAAAUCCAUGUCUGCCUCUACCUCUUCCACGACCCCGAAACGCAUUUCGACCACCGCGACUCCUUCCUCCUUCAUAUGAAACAUUCAGUGCUUGUUCAUCAUUUUGAAAAUGACGAUUCAAUCUUUGUUCAUGAACAAGUAAACUGCUUUGCAAUUCAUCUAUAGUAAGUUGGCUUAAAUCAUUAGACUCCUCUACUGAACAUACCACAUAGUCAAAUCGAAAAGUCAUUGAUCUUAGAAUUUUCUCAAUGAUGGUCACCUGCUCCAUUGUCUCACCAUGAACCCUCAUCUUAUUCACAAUCGUUAAUGUUCGAGCAAAAUAUUCAUCCACUUUCUCCCCUUCCUUCAUCUGCAGCACCUCAAAUUCUCUUCUUAAAGCUUGCAGUUGAGCCCUUUUGACUCGUGUUGAUCCCUGAUAUUUCUGCCUCAUAGAAUCCCAUAUGCUCUUAGCACUUCUUUUAUCAAGGAUAGUCUCCAUGAUAGUGCGAUCAAUGGACUGAAACAGAUAGUUCUUUACUUUUAAAUCUUUGAUUUGAAGUUGUUUUUGAGCCUCGGUUGGCACAGCUCCAGCUCCAUCUUCUACUGCUGAAGAAACUCCUGUUUCUAUUAGAUCCCAGUACUCCUUUGAACGAAGAAGAUUCUCCAUACGCAUAGCCCAGUGGUCAUAGUGACCAUCAAACUGAGGAAUGGUUGCUUGAACAUAUUUAUCUGUAGCCAUCUCAGCCUUCUCGUUCUCACAAAAGAAUAAUUCUCACAAAGUGAUCCACUCUUGCUCUCGUGUUUCACUCACUCUCGUGUUUCACUCACUCUUGCUCUCGUGUUUCACUCACCAGUUGCCAAGUGAUUGACUCUUGCUCUCGUGUCACUCACUCUUGUGUUUAGGAAUUGCAAUUCCAAACAGAACACUCAACCAAACUCUCUCUGUGUUGAGGCUCUGAUACCAAAUGACAGUUUCUUAAGCUCUUAAUUAUACAAACAAUUGUUAAAAGCAAGAAAACUAUAUUAUUUCAGAUGAGAGAUUAAGGCUUUAUAUCAGCCUUUACACAGCAGGAAUAAUGGAAAUAACGGAACCACUAAAGACGUGGUCAAGCGGUUACAAGAAAAUCGAAUUAAAAACUGAAGUCCAAAGGAUCCGGACAUUAUUAACUUAAAUAGCAGUAACGGUUAAUACUAAAUCAACACAACAGUCGAGAUCCAUAUCACAGUAUAACCUGAUAAGCUCUUCCAUUGAAAACAAGCCACAUAAAUGUUUUGAAUCGCUGGGAAUCGAUGAAAUGAUGAGGCAGAUGCAUGUGAAUCGGAAAGAUUUGAAUGUUGGACUACAAGGUCUUAUUUUCAAACAUCUUCUAAAGAAAGCUCAGAAGAUUAAGGAAGAUUUUAAUGUCUUUGAUAAGAACCUCAGAAGUAAAAUAAUAGGUCAGAGGGGAGAUGGUGUGCUAGAAGGAGAGGACUACAAGUGGUGCACGACUGAAGUAGAAUUCAGUCGGAGCAUUCUUGUUUGGCAUCUCGCAACAGAGAUUUGUUAUCUUGGUGAUAAAGAUGGAAGUAAUGUCUCCUCAGAAUUUGUUAUCAAUGGCAGAUACUUAUCUGAAUACAUGAUGUAUCUUUUGGUGAUAAGACCAAAUAUGCUCUCUAAAGGAUUCGGUGAUGAGGAAUAUCUAGAAACCUUGCGAGAGUUGCGAGGAUUCGGUAAUGUUGAUUUAAUUCUGGGGCGCUACAAUGAAUCACGUGGUUAUGAUGAUAUAGCGUUUCAAAGGCGCUGGAAAACAGAAAAGUCAGUGCUGAUCGGUGUGGAAAAGCUCGCCAGGCAAUUGCGGUCAUUGGAAUUGAAGAAGCGAUGGGAGAUGAUAAAUGAAGUUUGGGUAGAAAUGCUAGCUCAUGCAGCAGCUCAUUGUCCAUGGAAAGAGCAUACUCAACAACUGAGAAGAGGUGGAGAGUUACUCACUCAUGUCUCCCUUCUCAUGCUACAUCUUGGUUUGAGCGAACAGUAUGAAUAUAAAGGAUCAGACGACCUCCCCAUUCUUACGCGUUUGACAGGGGUAAGUAUACCAAAAAUCUUAGGCGUCAGAAUAAAAUAACAAAUCAGAUUAUUUCAAUUUAUAUAUGUUUGUUAUAUUCAUUAUUUUGGAAAUUCCAUUUAAAUGCUUUCAUUUCGUUUUCUUCAUUUUAUUAAUAAAGUGAUUUUAAUUGGAUGUCAUUUAAUUUAAAACGGUUGGAUGAUGAUUAAUAUUAGAUAUUUGCUUUUAUUGAUGCCUGCGUGUCUAAGAAAAAUUUGAAAUAAAUUAUUAAUAUUAGAUAUUUACUUUUAUUAACUGAUGCUUACUUGAAUUUCUAAUAAGAAAUUGAUUGAUGUUUCACCGCAAUCUUCAACAAAAACAAAAAGGAAAAGCGACAAGAAUAUUUGAAAGAGCCAGGUCUCGACAAGGUAUGUUCCACUUCCAUCUCAAUAAUUUAAUUAAAACCUUUCAAUUUACCCUAAACUUUUUUUAAAUAGUUUCCAUUUUUUUUCCUUUUUUUAAAUAACUAUCAAAACUUUUAAUUUUCUUUACAUUUCUCUUUUACUCUCUCUCAUAUUCCUUUAAAUAGAUGUUAUUGUAUGUCAUAAAAACAACACUUGAAAACAUUCCCAAAAAAGAAAAAUUCAAAAACCAAUUUUAAACAGUAAGCUUUUUAACGAUUAGGGUAAUAUAGGUAAUUUUAAAAACUAGAGAUAAUAUUGAAAAAUUUUAAACUAUAGGAGUAGAAGCAGAACAUUAAUUAAUCUAUGGAUACAAAAAUAAAAUUUACCAAAUAAUAUUUUUGUAUGUUAUAUAUGUCUUUCAAUAUGCUUAUUUUAAGCCAAGUUAUGUGACUGAUGAAUCACUAUUAGAGGCUCUGUGCUUGGGAAUGACAAUAAAUGUUUAACUCUCCCCUUCAGGAUUGCUUCUAAAUUAAUUCUAUACUUGCAUUAACAUCCAUCGAAGCUAAUUUCCAGUUUUCCAUACUCAUGCGAUUCUUUGCAUUGUACAUUUCCAUUAAAGAAAGUUUAUUGUUCAUAAAAAAAAUCAAAAUAAUUUACACUUAUCUCACAAAAUUAAUCUUAAAUAAUACUCUACUCAUCUUCAUAUCCAAAUCGUUUGAUUGUAUUACCUACCAUGACAAAAAAAAUUACACCCAUUCAUAUCUCCUUUCAAAUAAUGGAAGGUAGAACUUUUAGAAGUCGGUACAAUUAUUGUCUCCAACCUUUUUUGAUUUUUUAUACUUGAUAAAAUGAAUUUUUUUAGUAACAAACUAGAUAGACGACCUGUGAUUCGUUGCGGGCCGGACUGAUUUUUCUGCAGUGUAAAAAAACGAUGCCCAAGCAUAAUUAUUAGAUUUUAAAGAACGAAAAAAAUCCACAACUUGACACCAUAGAAAAAGAGUUAAAUAAUAAUAAUAAUAAUUGUCAAUCCCCUGGAAUAAAAAUAUAAAAGGAUAAAAUUAGGGGAAAAAAGACAAUGAAAAAAAAUAUAUUAAAAAACAAAGCACUAGCAAAAUCAAGUGUGGUUGUCAAAAUCCGCAAGUAGAACCAAAUGGUCAUGAUAACCCAAUAUAAGGUAAAAUAGAAAAAAAAAUAGUUGUAAAAAGAAUUAAAUUUUAAAGGACAUAAUAAAAAAGGAUGAAAAAAGCAACAUUAGAAAAACUUGGACUACCUAGAUAAACCCCUCACAUAGCUCAUGAGAUAGAGAAAACUUGAUUGUAAAGAAAACAAUGAUCGUCAAAAUAAAAUUGGGGAGCAAUAAUCAAGUGUAAGACGACCAAAAACUUGGGUUGAACCAUGUUUCGGUUAAACCGUGAAAAAUCCAAUCAAAAUAGGGUCAAAACCUGUUAACUAUUUUUUUCAAAAUGGUAGCAUUUUGACUUUCUCAUAACACAUAAAGAUUUAAUUGACUUGGGUUCACUCAAGUCAACCCACUCGACCUGUGACCCGAUAAUUGUCUCAGAUUAACUCUUGGGUAGGGCAUAAAAGCAAUAGGAAAAACCAAAGAGACCAAAUCCUAAUAAAUAAAAUAUUGAAAGAUGAAAUAAAAAAAUUGAAGGAUAAAAAAAAGCAAUUGAGUGAAAGGGACCUUAUUUGAAACAAAAAAUAAAAGGAUAAACAAAAUUUUUGAAUUGAAUGACAAAUUGUUUUUAAAAAAUCAAAUUAACAAAUGAAUCCAAAAUAAAAAAUAAAAACCAAGAGAAUGGGGAUCAAAUCUUUAAAAAAAAAACCAAAAUUAUGGAUCUAAAAAUAAAAUGGAAUACAAAUUAAAAUUUGAUAAAAAAAGAUGAAUGAUCAAAAUUAGAAAUUAAAACAUUGAUGAUUAAACCUUAAAUAUCAUCAAAUAUUGAAUUGAAGGGCAAAGUUGAAAAGAAAAAUCAAAUUCACAAAAGAAUAAAAAAAUAAAAGAAUACCAAUUUUCAACAAAGUUAAUGAUGAUGAAUGAAAUUUUUAUUUUUUUUAAAUGACUGAAGACAACUCAAUCCAACCUGUAAGAACUUGUGACAUGGAUCGUGAGGUCGAAUCACAAUAUAAAAAGCAAAUCCAAAAAAAUAACAAUGCAAAAUCCCUAGGAUGAAAUUUAAAAACAAUUUCAAUAAAGAAAAGAAUAACAACAGCUAAAAACAACAAUCAAAAUAAUAAGGACCAUAUUUGAUACAAAAAUAAAAUGUGAAGGAAUGAAAUUCAAAGACAAUUAAAUUAAUUCAAUCAAGGAUUCAGGACCAAACACAUCACAAUUAAAAGAAUGAAGACUAGAUUUAAUAUAAAAAUCAAGUGUAAAGGGAUGAAAUAAAAAAAAACUACUCAAUAAAUGAUUCAAGACCAAAUACAAUUUAAAGAAUGAGGACCAAAUCUUAUAUAAAAACCAAGUAUCGAGGGAUGAAAUUGAAAAAAAUAAAUUAGCUCAAUAAAUAAUUCAAGAUCAAAUACAUUGCAAUAAAAAAAAAUGAUGACCCAAUUUAACUUAACAAACAAAUAACCAUACUAUUUUGUGUUUUUGCAAUAACUAGCACGAUUUUCUAGAAGGAGAGGGAGGAGAGAGGAAGGGAGAGAAAAACUCAAGGUCAAUGCUUCUCUGCGUCACGACCGCGAACAUGUGCCUCACCGCCGUGAUGGGGGCAGUAAGGCGCAUCGAACACCUUCCUUAAAGUCGGUGUUCGAUGCAAUUUAGGUGCCGCACACACCACCUAAGGGGUGCAGACGACACCCACCUGCCGACAUGUGUGAAGCACUUGCCAUCCAUCUCCAAAUUUAAAUAAUAAUUUAUGCCUGUUAAAAUACAUAAAUAUCUCUAACACCACUUGAGAAUCACAACAAAGUCAUAUCAAAAAGACAAAACACCCUUAUUAGCGGUCUUGUUUUAAAAACUAGAAAAGACUGAGAAGCCAUUCAACCUAAGCUAUUUUUUUUCUCCUCCAAAGGUAUGAAUGUAAACACAUUGUUUUUGUUUUUUUUUUUUUUGUAAUUAGAUGAGGGAUCACAAUCUUUCUUUAUAGCAAGUAGAUGGGCACUACACCAAAGGGUUCUUAUGAUAUUAAUUAUAGCUCAAAUAUUCAUUAUCAUUUAUGAUCCUCGGAUUGUUCCUGAGUCUAGUCAAUAUUGAUGCCUUCGUGUCUAAGAAGAAUAUGAAUAAAUGAUUAAUAUUAUAUAUUUUCUCCUUUUAACUGAUGACUACUUGAAUUUCUGAUAAUAAAUUGAAUGAUGUUUCAUCGCAAUCUUCAACAAAAACAAAAAAGAGGAGGGGCAAGAAUAUUUACAGGCAAAAAAAAAAUACUAUAAGGGUAUUUCAGCCAAGUCAGGGUCGAGGCCCAAUGAGGUAUGUUCCACUUCCAUCUCAAUACUUUAAAACCUUCCACUUUACCUUUUAGUUGUUUUAAAUAGUUUCCAUUUUUUUCCAUUUUUUUUAAAUAACUAUCAUUUUCCUUACAUUUCUCUUUUACCAAUGUUAUUAUAUGUCAUAAAAACACUUAAAAUUGAAAAAGUUUAAACUAUAGGAGUAUAAGCAGAACACUAAUUAAUCUAAAGAUACAAAAAUAAAAUUUACCAAAUAAUAUUUUUGUAUACCAUAUAUGUUAUUCAAUAUGUUUAUUUUAAGCCAAGUUAUGUGACUGAUAAAUCACCAUUAGAGGCACCGUGCUUGGGGAUGACAAUAAAGGUUUAACUCUCCCCAUGAGGAUUGCUUCUAAAUUCUAUAAUUGCAGUAACAUCCAUCGAAGCUAAUUUUCAGUUUUCCAUACUUAUCUUUAUUGAAUAAAGAUUCAUGAUACGAUUCUUUGCACGGUACCUUUUCAUUAAAGAAAGUCUAUUGUCCAUAAAAAAAAAUCAAAAUAAUUUACACUUAUCUCACAAAAUUAAUCUUAAAUAUGACUGAUAAAAAAAUGUGACUUUUGAAAUUUAUAAAUAAGAAUGAGAAGUUUAAUUUCUAUCCUAGUGACUUAUCUUCACUCCCUUGUAAGCAUAUUAAUUGAACUUAACAAUUUAGCCUCAAGCCUCAAGCCUCAAGCCUCAAGCCUCAAGCAAGGAAGCUCUCUCAAAAGUUCUCAAGCCUUCUUCAUCUACGCUUGAAGUCUACAAAGAACGAAGCUUUAUUGGAACAAGCUUAAACGCCUCAUAAUUGUUCUUCAACAACACUUUAAAGACAAAUCAAAGGUACUCCUCAAAGCAUCAAAUCACCAAAUCUCGCUAAGUUCUGUUAGAUCAAGCCUAAACGCCUCAUAAGAGUUCUUCAACAACACUUUAAAGACAAAUCAAAGGUACUCUUCAAAGCAUCAAAUCAUCAAAUCUUGCUUCGCAAUACACACCCAAAUUCACGUUCUUGCAAAGCACAAAUCUUGGCUCAAUUUAUCAAAUAAAUCAAGUCACCAUACAUCAGAUCCAAGAGAAGAAUCAGAGGAUUGUCUUAUUCUCUUGAAAGAAUAUAUUAUAUAGAGAUUGUACCUAUUUAUAUAUUUAAUAAAAUUAUAUAGUCGUACACGUGUGCUUGUUUAAUUUUAGAUGCUAAAAAUUAUGUCUACAAUCCUGUAAAAAAAAACAGAGAGAAAAAGAGAAAGAAACGUUAUGGUUUAGUAAAUUAAUUUUAAACUAAACAAUUGCUAUCUAAAAAUAUUAGAAGUUGUAGGCAUUUACUGCAGAAUUGAUCAGAAGUUGGGAAAUGACUAUAUUAUUAGAUCACAGCUUGAAUGCGAAAUUUUUAAGUGUUUUAAUAGGAGAUUAGACAGUGUACUUACCAAACUGGAAAAGAAGGCGAAAUCCCUUCUUUUCUUUUUUUUUUUUAUUAAUGUGAGUGUACGUUCGGGCCAACUUGCGCGCAUCUCGACUAAUCUCACGAGUCCUGAAGUUAAUUAAUGACCAUGUAAACUUUCAGUUGCUAUCAUAUUAGUAAUUAUAGGGCUCGAACUUAAAACCAUAAAAAAAACAAAUCUCUUAAUUUCAAACUCUUACCACAAGAUUACCAGCUAGAUGGUUGAAAUCCCUUCUUUUAUUGGCUGUCUAGCUGUUACCUAAGGCACAAUUGCAUAAACAUCACUGCAACUCAAGACUCUUGGUUUUCGUACCUUUGUCCAUCAUUCCAUGUAUUGCUGCAGUGAUGAUCAUGAAAUUUAUUUCGUUUUUUUUCUUCAUAUAUAAUUUUCAUGUAGAGCCAUGUAUUACUACGAGGAUGAUAAUAAAAUUGGUGAAUUAUUAAAAACAAAAUCAAUAUAAUUGUUAAGAAUAUAAAAAAAUCAUUUUAAUACAAAAAUUUAAGUGAUUAUCCAAAAAAAAAAAACACAAAAAUUUAAGUUGUUCCAUAAAAUUUUAAAAAUAAUUUUAUAUAACACUUUAACCUUUCGGGAGUUUAAUGUUAAAGCAUCGUAUCAGCCAGAAAUUACUACUUAGCUCAAUGAUAUUUAGUUUUCCUUCUUUCAUGUGUCCCAAAAAAAAGAGAGAACUCUGCCAUCAAGAAAAAGGAUAGCCAAUUCAAUCUUGCAAACUGCAUUUUUUAUUAUUUAGCAUCUCUUCUUUGCUUGAUACCCAAAAAAGAACCUAAAGUUUCCCAAGAAAGAAGGCAAUCUCUGUCCUAGCCAGCUACCAUAUCUUAUGUAAUAAUGAUUUGCAAAGUUGGUCAGAGAUGUUCUAAAAUAACAAAAAACCUCUUUAAUCACCCAAUCAAUCUCUUAAAAUUAAGAUAUUAUAAAGACAUGAACAAUGCUAGUAAAACUCUCUCUUAAAAUUAUCCACAUUGUCAUUAAUUAAUUUACUUGCCAGCAACUCCCUUUUUUUUUUCUUCUUCUUCUUCUUCUUGUUAUUAUACUUAUAGAAAUCUUGAGGGGUAUAGCUUAACUGGUCAGGCUCUAGGUUUGCUCCUUAGAGGUUACCAGUUCGAGUCUCACAAACCUCAGGGCCAUUGGAGACUUACAUGGUCGUUAACUUCAGGGCCCGUGGGAUUAGUAGAGGUGCGCGCAAGCUGGCCCGGACACCCAUGUUAAUAAAAAAAAAUACUAUACUUAUAGAGACAAGGCUAAAUAAAUAUCAAAAUUAUGAUCCAUCUUCAAGAACAUGGAUCUCCAAAGGUUAAAAACUUCGCAAUUGAGUUCUUCCAUCCACAUUUUCUAAUAGAUUUCAUCAAGAAUGAACAUUCUAUGCAAUGAAAACGAUAUCAUUAAGGAUGACUAUCGUUGAAUAGGUUAUCUAUCCAAAUUUCUGAAUUUUUUCUGUGUUUUGAAGAUGCAAAAUUCCACUAGUGCAAGGCAGAAACUUAUUAGUAGCAGUAAAUGGUAGUCACAUAUUCAAACCUUUGGGAAGUUUAGUGCUUUAACAUCAUAUUGAUAUUCAGAUUUCCUUCUUUAAGUGUCCAGAAAGCAAUGCCCAUUGUCUAUCAAGAAAAGAAAAGUGGGGAAAAGCAACUAAUUUAAAGUCUCUUCUUUCUUGCAGCAUCUCUUUCUUACUAUUUAGCAUCUCUUCGUUGCUUUGUACCCAUGGCAGGUACCAAAUUCUUACUUGUAUAUGUAACUAUGGUUUGUAAAAGCUGGUAAUGCAAGCUUUAAGUUAAAGGAGAUAUAUCCCAGAAUUCACUUCCAUAUAUUAAUUUGUAAUGCAGCCCAUACCUUUUUCUUUGCUUGCCGCAACAACAAUAUGCAGCAACUCCUAUUUUAUGAUACCUUACCCAAAAUCUACUGCAGAAUUCUUUUCUCAUAAGAGUCUUUUCGCUAUUCAUUGUAAGAGAUUUUUUUCAAAGAUAUCCACAUUUACUUUUCCAUCUUACAAAACAGUUUUUUCAAGGGUUCAUCGAGAGAACUAGUUUCCACAGUUGAGGAAAAGAUGACAAUGCUUAAAAAAUUGCCUGAAGAAGUCUUAAAUUUAUGGAACAAUUGGGAGAUUCGAGGGAUGGUUUUGCUUAGUCUCUUACUACAAACCAUCCUCAUCGUAUUUGGUCCUCGGCGAAAGACCAUUGGAAGAAUCUGGAUCAGGAUUCUCGUUUGGUCUGCGUACCUAUCAGCAGACAUGGUGGCAACUGUUGCACUGGGUAAUCUAGCCAGGAGCCAAGGAGAUUCAUCAGGUGACAGUUCAGAGAAAGCAAACAAUUCCAUCCAGACAUUUUGGGCACCUUUUCUACUCCUGCACCUUGGUGGCCCAGACACAAUCACUGCAUACUCGAUUGAAGAUAACGAGUUGUGGUUAAGGC
rnacentral:lncRNA from 1 species